GCCUGGUUCUAGGAGUAGGUAUCUGCCUGGUUCUAGGAGUAGGUAUCUGCCUGGUUCUAGGAGUAGGUAUCUGCCUGGUUCUAGGAGUAGGUAUCUGCCUGGUUCUAGGAGUAGGUAUCUGCCUGGUUCUAGGAGUAGGUAUCUGCCUGGUUCUAGGAGUAGGUAUCUGCCUGGUUCUAGGAGUAGGUAUCUGCCUGGUUCUAGGAGUAGGUAUCUGCCUGGUUCUAGGAGUAGGUAUCUGCCUGGUUCUAGGAGUAGGUAUCUGCCUGGUUCUAGGAGUAGGUAUCUGCCUGGUUCUAGGAGUAGGUAUCUGCCUGGUUCUAGGAGUAGGUAUCUGCCUGGUUCUAGGAGUAGGUAUCUGCCUGGUUCUAGGAGUAGGUAUCUGCCUGGUUCUAGGAGUAGGUAUCUGCCUGGUUCUAGGAGUAGGUUUUUGCCUGGUUCUAGGAGUAGGUUUCUGCCUGGUUCUAGGAGUAGGUAUCUGCCUGGUUCUAGGUGUACGUCGAGGUUUAGCAACACAUGGAGUUUGUUUCCCACUGGGGUCAUGUCCAAUGUUCCCUGUUUAAAUCCCACUGGGGUCAUGUCCAAUGAUCCCUGUUUAAAUCCCAUUGGGGUCAUGUCCAAUGUUCCCUGUUUAAAUCCCACUGGGGUCAUGUCCAAUGUUCCCUGUUUAAAUCCCACUGGGGUCAUGUCCAAUGUUCCCUGUUUAAAUCCCACUGGGGUCAUGUCCAAUGUUCCCUGUUUAAAUCCCACUGGGGUCAUGUCCAAUGUUCCCUGUUUAAAUCCCACUGGGGUCAUGUCCAAUGUUCCCUGUUUAAAUCCCAUUGGGGUCAUGUCCAAUGUUCCCUGUUUAAAUCCCACUGGGGUCAUGUCCAAUGUUCCCUGUUUAAAUCCCAUUGGGGUCAUGUCCACUGAGCAAGUCAGGUCUUGUGAGCAGAAACUUGAACUUUCUGUGCAACUUCCUGUUUACAGUGAACACUGAGGCUGUACCAUCAGUUUUAGACAGUAACCAAUAGGCUGUACCAUCAGUUUUAGACAGUAGCCAAUAGGUUGUACCAUCAGUUUUAGACAGUAACCAAUAGGUUGUACCAUCAGUUUCAGACAGUAACCAAUAGGCGGUACCAUCAGUUUUAGACAGUAACCAAUAGGCGGUACCAUCAGUUUUAGACAGUAACCAAUAGGCUGUACCAUCAGUUUUAGACAGUAGCCAAUAGGCUGUACCAUCAGUUUUAGACAGUAACCAAUAGGCUGUACCAUCAGUUUUAGACAGUAACCAAUAGGCUGUACCAUCAGUUUUAGACAGUAACCAAUAGGCUGUACCAUCAGUUUUAGACAGUAACCAAUAGGCUGUACCAUCAGUUUUAGACAGUAACCAAUAGGUUGUACCAUCAGUUUUAGACAGUAACCAAUAGGCGGUACCAUCAGUUUUAGACAGUAACCAAUAGGCUGUACCAUCAGUUUUAGACAGUAACCAAUAGGCUGUACCAUCAGUUUUAGACAGUAACCAAUAGGCGGUACCAUCAGUUUUAGCCAAUAAGCUAUUUGGCAUAAUGUUCUCCUAUCAGAGUGGCCUACCAAUAGAGAAAAUCCCAGAACAUUUUCACCAAUAGGCUGUACCAUCAGUUUUAGACAGUAACCAAUAGGUUGUACCAUCAGUUUUAGACAGUAACCAAUAGGCUGUACCAUCAGUUUUAGACAGUAACCAAUAGGCUGUACCAUCAGUUUUAGACAGUAACCAAUAGGCUGUACCAUCAGUUUUAGACAGUAACCAAUAGGUUGUACCAUCAGUUUUAGACAGUAACCAAUAGGCUGUACCAUCAGUUUUAGACAGUAACCAAUAGGCUGUACCAUCAGUUUUAGACAGUAACCAAUAGGUUGUACCAUCAGUUUUAGACAGUAACCAAUAGGCUGUACCAUCAGUUUUAGACAGUAACCAAUAGGUUGUACCAUCAGUUUUAG